rnacentral:rRNA from 1 species
AAAGGAAUUGACGGGGACCCGCACAAGCGGUGGAGCAUGUGGUUUAAUUCGAUGCAACGCGAAGAACCUUACCUACCCUUGACAUCCUUCGAAUCUUGUAGAGAUACGAGAGUGCCGAAAGGAGCGAAGAGACAGGUGCUGCAUGGCUGUCGUCAGCUCGUGUCGUGAGAUGUUGGGUUAAGUCCCGUAACGAGCGCAACCCUUGUCCUUAGUUGCCAGCACGUAAAGGUGGGAACUCUAAGGAGACUGCCGGUGAUAAACCGGAGGAAGGUGGGGAUGAGGUCAAGUCAUCAUGGCCUUUAUGGGUAGGGCCACACACGUGCUACAAUGGUCGGUACAAAGGGAAGCGAACCUGCGAAGGGGAGCGAAACUCAUAAAACCGAUCUUAGUCCGGAUUGGAGUCUGCAACUCGACUCCAUGAAGCUGGAAUCGCUAGUAAUCGCGGAUCAGAACGCCGCGGUGAAUACGUUCCCGGGUCUUGUACACACCGCCCGU